CUUCCCUCGCUUCUCUGCGUGUCUUUAUCAUUUUAAAACUAGACACUUGACAGAAGAUGUGGAAGCCCUAGUCUCGCCGUCUCUGUGGUUUUGCUGCUGUUUGUACAGUGACUUCAUGAACGAGUUCUGGGAAGCUUGUCUGUCUGCAGCUCGCCCGGUGGUCAGCCGAGGAUUGGAAGGAGAGCUUCCCAAAUUCUGGGAGCCCGUGCGUGCCCCAGGCUUUGUCGCAGGGGCCCCUCGUGUGGCUGUGACCCCCGGCCAGGUGGCCCGCGUGCAGGGUCUCCCCAGGCCCGUACGGAGUGCGGGCACAGCUCUGGCACGCGCACGGCCUCCCAGAUUCCCGGGCACGUGUAGGAGCCUCCCCGGUCUCCCCCGGCACAUCUCAGUCCCCAGCGCUUGCUGUUAAGCUUGUUGCUGGUCUAUUUUUGCCACAACCGCUGUCCACUGCCUCAGGCGGCCGCCGGGUUACACAGCCGCCUCUGAUCCUUUCUUCCAGCGAAUUCCCGUGGAGAAACGGCGCUUCCUUCCUGGGGGUCGUCAUUCCAGAAACAGCCUCAUAAUGUUGACACGUCUGAAGCUCAUGCUUGACACGGUCUGACGUCUGUGUGGCCCCAGCGAACACCCCCAGCACCCGCCAGGCUCGUGUGAUCCGCGAGCGCUCCCUCCUGCCCUCUGCUCGGCCCGCCAUCUCCAGGCAACCACUGACCUGCUUUCUGUCGCUGCAGAUGCGCUGCGCUUGUCUCCCGUCUGAUGUCAGCGCGAUCAUCCUGUCAGGCGGCAUCAUCAUUCGGAGACCGAGCUCCGUGGCCGUGCGCACCGUUUCCUGCCGAACGCAGUUCCCUUGUAAGGACGCGCCGCGGCUGGCUGAGCCAUGCCUGUCGAUGGACAUGUGGGUUGCUUCUUGUUUCUGGCUAUUAAAAAAAAAAAUAAAACUGCUGUGGACAUUCCUGCACAA